AUGGCAGGUCAUGAUGAGAGGCCACCUGGGUUGGUCUCACCCCUUGUGUGGAGCAUAGUGGAAGCCGGCUUCUCUUGUGCGGAUGAGGCAAAUCCAACGGACCUCGAACUGAGGAAGAUGUACUACAAUGCCCAAGCCAUGAACGCCAUACACUGUGCCCUCAGCGAUGAUCAGCUCUACCGGAUCUGGCACCUUGAUACCGCCAAGGAGGUCUGGGACGCUCUCCAGGUUAUGCAUGAAGACACCCCGACCGUCCGUCGGUUGAAGAUCAAACAGCUGAGGGAGAAGAUGAAGUUGUUUGCGUGGAGGAAGGGCGAGUCUGCCGAUCAAAUGCAUACAAGGCUCUGGAAUUUGGCCAUUGACCUGAAUCGCCUUGGUUGCAAAGAGGUGGACGAUUCCUAUGUCGUGUGGACGAUGCUUCGUGCUAUGACGCCUAGGAAGCCAGCCUUUGUGGACGGCAUUCGCCAGGAGCCUGGCUUUGAAGAACUCACCCCUCUGGAUGUGCUCCACAACUUCCAAGUCUACGACUGCAGACAAGAGCUAUCCAGAAUAAUCAUGCGCGGGUACGCGAAGGCGAAGGCGAAGGCGGACACUGUCACACCGAGCGAGCCCGACGACGAUGCAGAUUGCUCCGGAGAAGCGCCUCGCUUCGAUGGCACGCACUAUCUAUCAUGGCAGCGUAGGAUGAAAUUCCAUCUGCUUAGCAUUGACCCUCUAGUGUGGAGAAUUGUGGAAACUGGCUUCUCCUGUGUAGAUGAAGCAAAUCCAACGGCUCUUGAAAAGAGGAAUUGGCAGCACGACUACCGAGCUAGAUGUGCCUUACAGUAUGCCAUAGGUGAUGAUCAAUACAUUCGGAUUUGCCGGUAUAAAUAUAAGAGUGCUAAGGAGAUUUGGGAUGCUCUCCGAAAAUUUAAUGAAGCGGUUGGUAAGUCAAAGCUCAGUUCACUGAGGAUGGAUAUGAACUUCUUCGUCUUAGGAGAAGACGAGUCCCCGAGUGACAUGUAUACAAGGCUCAACAAUUUGGCCAAUGAAAUGAAGGGUCUCGGGUGCAAAGAGAUGACUGAUUCCUAUCUUGUGGAGAAGAUGCUUUUUGCCAUGACACCAAGGAACCCAACCAUGGUUUUCCUCAUCCAUCAGAAGCAUAACUUUGAACUACUCACCCCUCAGGAGGUGCUUGCAACCUUCCUCCUCUACGGCGGGGAGCAAAAAGAACCCAAAGUCACGAGGGGGCAUGCAUUGCCACGCUCAAGCAAAAAGGUCAACGCUGCCUUGAAGGCCAAGCAAGUCCAAGUGGAGGAAUCUAGCGAUGAUGAAAACGACCAUGAUCAAGACCAAGAGCAAAUUCAACAAGGAAUGCAAGAAUUGGCUCUCUUCAUGAAGAAAUAUAAAGGGUUUCUUAGAAAGAAAGGCUGUGAAACAAGAAGUAAUUUCUCUGACAAGUUCAAGAUGAGGAAAUCAAAGAGAUAUUGCUAUCAAUGUGGUGAUUCCAAUCAUUUCAUUGCUGAUUGCCCGAAGAAAGAGGACAAGAAAGAAGAGGAGAAGAGCAAGUACAAGAGGGAACCAUUCAACAACAAGGGCAAGCCAUACAAGCCGGAGGGGCAGAAAGGAAAAAACCUGGAGUUCACCAGGCUGGCUGAAGUUGUGAGGCUGGGAGGCUGA
rnacentral:rRNA from 1 species